rnacentral:lncRNA from 1 species
UGAGAAUUAAAGGAAAUCUGACACUACAGCUGUGAUGAUAUGUCAUCAAAGCCAUUCUUGUAAUCAGGCAGAACCCCAACCCACCUACAAAAUUUUGACUCAAAAUUUAUUCCGCCUACAAGAAAUCCAGGGACAGUGGAUUCCACAGAGACCGAGGAAUGGCCAAACAAUACCCUAUUCAAUGAGAGAUCCAUCCCAUAAGAACUUCAAGUUAAGAUUCUAUAGCUACAAAUAUUUCACAAUUUAGACACAAGAUUUGGAAGAUUGAAACUGACAUGAAAGUCUUCUUCCUGAGGACUAGCACUCAUAAUGCAGUGUGUGUAUGAAGGUCAUGUCAGAGAAGGUGAAACAUGAAAGAAGCAACAUACUCUUCAACAUGAUGAAUAAUACUCACUACAAAGACAUGAGGUCAGAGGAGACUGCCAGAGUCAGUGGGAAGUCUUCAUUCUCUUCUCAGAUGCUCAUGAGACCUCAGCUGACCCUGAUCCAAGUGUGAAGAACCUUACAGCAGGUUGCAUCAUUUCUGACACGCCCACCUCUGUGAUCACCAGCAGCUAGCCAUCAAGGAGAGCAAAUCAGACAUUGCCCUUUCAGGAGGAAAGCAGUGCCAUUCAAUCAAACCUGAAGAAAAACAGUUUUAC